GAUGAAGAACGCAGCGAAAUGCGAUAAGUAGUGUGAAUUGCAGAAUUCAGUGAAUCAUCGAAUCUUUGAACGCACAUUGCGGCCAUAGGUAUUCCUUUGGCCAUGCCUGUUCGAGCGUCAUUUACACCCUCAAGCCUAGCUUGGUGUUGGGCGUCUGUCCCGCCGUUCUCGCGCGCGGACUCGCCUCAAAGUCAUUGGCGGCGGUCGUGCCGGCCCCCUCGCGCAGCACAUUUGCGCUUCUCGGAGGCCCGGCGGAUCCGCGCUCCAGCAAGACCUUUCACGGCUUGACCUCGGAUCAGGUAGGGAUACCCGCUGAACUUAAGCAUAUCAAUAAGCGGAGGA
rnacentral:misc_RNA from 1 species